rnacentral:rRNA from 1 species
CCUACGGGUGGUAGCAGUAGGGAAUAUUGCUCAAUGGGGGAGACCCUGAAGCAGCAACGCCGCGUGGAGGAUGACGGUUUUAGGAUUGUAAACUCCUUUUGUUAGAGGAGAUAAUGCAGGUAUCUAACGAAUAAGCACCGGCUAACUUCGUGACAGCAGCCGCGGUACUACGGCGGGUGCAAGCGUUACUCGGAAUCCCUGGGCGUAAAGCGGGCGUAGGCGGGAUAGCAAGUCAGAUGUGAAAUCCUAUGGCUUAACCAUAGAACUGCAUUUGAAACUGUUAGUCUAGAGUAUGGGUGAGGUAGGUGGAAUUCGUGGUGUAGGGGUAAAAUCCGUAGAGAUCAAGAGGAAUACUCAUUGCGAAGGCGACCUGCUAGAACAUAACUGACACUGAUGCUCGAAAGCGUGGGGAUCAAACAGGAUUAGAUACCCUUGUAGUC